UUUUCGGAUUGAAAACGUUCCGCGACACGCUUUUCCGUUGGCAACUUCCAUGGUGAUUUCCACAAGAUACCACCCCAUGUUCCAAAUACAUGAAAUACCGGGUCCCCAAUAGAUUAACUGUAGUGUUGCUAUCGUCUAUCGUUAUCCUUAUCCCCUCACCUCUUCUAGUAGUGGCUAGUGGAAACUGUUUGGGUUGUGAAAAAAAAAACGCUAUAUUUGAACAUAAAGAUUUUUUUUAUUAGCGUGUUCUUCGUUUUCACAAAGGCCACUUUUGCGGGAUGGGAAUGGUAUCUAAAAGGAAAAAAAAACAAUGAGUAGUGAAGGUCCAGUUAAGAUUGUAGGAAUUAACCAUGGAGUAUGUCUGCAUCAUUUCUUGUUGAUGGAUGGAUGGAAGGAAAAAAGAACAAUUCACUGAUGUUACAUUUUUUUGCCAGUCUCCAGAUGACAAUAAUGAACAACACAGCUUACAAAACAAGCUCCGUGCUAACAGAAGUGUUCUUGCUGCUGCCAGCCGGUUCUUUUCCAUCCUGUUACCUGAUUGUGAGUUAGACCUAGAUGUCUGCAUCUCAAUUGAUCUGAGCUUUGAAGAACUGUUUUGUGUUCUUGAGUACAUCUAUUCUGGGAAGCUGCUGUGUUCAGUCAAAAGCAAAGACAGAAUUUUAAGUAUUCUAAAAGAAUUUGAUAUUUUCGUGCCUGAUCAUCUACAGAAUUCAGUAGACUGUGGAAGAAAUGGAAGUAGUGAGGCAGAAGUGGAAAUAAUAUUUGAAGAAGCCAUUGCAAGUGAACCAAAAACUACUAGAGAUCCCACAAACAUUUCAGAGGAUAAAUCUCCCUUUGCAACUUCUGCCGAUGUUCGUGUAGUUUUUUACCUGGUUAUAGUCGCUUUCGGCAAAAAGCGCGUUAUUGGUCCGAAAUUCCUAUAUGUCUGAGCCAUUGUUCAAAAUGCAGCUUUAACCUGAUAGGUCUACAAUAGCUGCCGUAUUUAUCCCAAAACUGAGGGAAAGCAAAAUAGGUUUAACAGAAACUGAAAGACUUUUUCUCAUAUGACACAUGGUCUCAAAACUUGUUGAUGUUUCCAUACCAAAACAUCUGAUGCUCAAUUUCUGUUGCUUUCCUUGCUAGUUCAUGUUAAUUUGCCAACUUCUUUUUUAAAAAAAAGGAGUAGACUAUCUGCAUUUAGCUUAUUAAAUAUUUUUUCUUAAAAUAUUAUUUCAGGCGUCUUAACUGCCUAUUGAAGCAAAAGUAGACUACACGGCACCAUCGCUGUUCAUUAGGCCUACUUUGAUAUUCCUGAUGGGCCAGGAUAAAAUGCGGACCGCGGACUGCGGACUGCGGACUUUCACCUGCGGACUGGCCCGAAAUUUUUGACAGCAGUCCGCAGUUUCUCCACAGGGUAGCUGUCCGCAGUCCGCGUAUUAUACGGGGAUACAGCAUUCCAUAUAGACAUUUCUAUGCGUUGGUAAGGCAGAAAAUUGGACAAGACAGAUCAACCUUAUUUUUGUCAUGCAUUGGCUGUUGUUCGAUAACUGUUGCUUUUUAAAAAUAUGUAUGGAUGCAACAAUUCCAAUGAAUAAAAAUAAAAAUGCGCACAGCUCUUA
rnacentral:misc_RNA from 1 species